rnacentral:lncRNA from 1 species
CUUCCUGCAUGGGGCCUGCUUCUCCCUCUGCUUGUGUCUCUGCCUCUCUGUGUCUCUCAUGAAUAAAUAAAUAAAAUCUUAAAAAAUUCUAUUUCUUUGGUUGCCUUAGUAAAAUAAGUGAUUGAGGAAAAAGAGUAUUCAAGAAGAAACUUUUGCCUAAUUAUCAUUUCUAUGUAUCUAGUAUUUGCUACUUUAUCAUGCCCCUUUUACUCCUCACUUUAUUAGUUAUGAGAAAUUAAUAAAUUCAGUUUGUUUUUGAAAUCAGAACAAGUAGAUUCUAAUCCUAACUCUGCUUUCAGCAGGUGGGUGACAUGGGCAACUGUCUUAAGCUCCCUAGGACUCUGUUUUUUCAUUUGCAAAAUAAGGAAUGAUGUAUAUUAGACAAUUAUUGUGAGGGUUAUUUUCAACUUGUAAAUUGCAAUGCUUUAUGACUGGCAGAAAGUGGACACUUAAUACAAAUUGUUCUCCUUUCUUUAGCUCUUCUUUAAAAAAAAUAAAACUAAUGAAGAAAUACAAUACUAAUGAAGAGAGAUCCCAGAGUUUUAAAAAAAAGAAAGAAAGAAAGAAGACAACACUUAUGGGAUAUAUGACUUCUGGAACAGGUUGGACGUUUGUUGGCGUUCGGUGCCUAUAGACAUGCAAGGUUCAAAGAAGAGGGAGAAGCUGAGUUAGCCCUUAUUGCACCAAUUUGGUGAUUUAAAAUUCGCUUGGAGGGUCUCUAAAAAUUUCCAUGCAGUUCGGUAGCUCAGUCUAUCUAAGACUCUAACUCAGCACGAACCUUCACGUUAAAUUUUCAUUUUUUUUUCCUGACACCAAUGUUUAUUAUCUUUAUAAUUAAAUCCAGCUUUGAUUUACCAUCUAAACCAGGCAAUCGAGCCAGACAACAUAGGAACCUUUCUCUUCCCUUAUUCUGAAAAGCGUCUAUGGUGACUCCUCACUUUGCUCCGUCUGUUCAAACGCCACGACUGACUCAUCCUGUCCCUUAUCCCACGAGAAUAUAUCCAAAGUGAUUAACGGCAGAAGGAGUUGAGGUUCACGAUGAGAGAGAGGAUUGACCCUUGGAAUAGCACUUCUUAAAAAUGAUCAUAUUUCUAGGUUUCUUUUUAAAAUUAAAGACUCAAGUAAAGCACGAGAAUUCUGGCCUUGCUUUUUGGUUCAUCUGCACAAAGACGUUACGAAGAGUUGUUGUGUACUCAUCCUGUGUGUGAAACAGCCCUCCCAAAGGAACUCCAGACUAUUAUUGUUCUCCCCUGUUUCUCCAGUAAUUGAUUCAGGAAGCUUUCUUGAAGAAUGGGGUUUUCCACUUUAUUAUCACUACUGCCGACUGUGUUACACAUGGAUUGUCAAAAAUUUGAAUGCAAUAAAAUGAAUAGUGAUACAUCUACAAUGAAUAUAAUUUAGUCCUUCACGAUGUAGGAUUUACAGUCGUGCAGACCUCCAUUAGGAACGUCAGUGAUAAUUAGGUUGUAGCUAUAAAAAACAUAGGAAAUGGACUGAAACAGCCUUCAUUUUUUUUUUCCAAAAAAAGAUUGUAUUUAUUUAUUUGAGAUAGAGUGUGGGAGAGAGAGCAUGAUCAGGGGUCUCUGGGAUCCCAGGACUCUGGGAUCAUGAUCUGGGCCACCCAGGCACCCCCAGCCUUCACCCUUUAAUCAUCUGCAAGUGGUUUGAAAAAAGGAACGCUUUUAUUGCUUGUUUACUUGCCCCUUAUAUAAGGGAAGGCAGUAAGGAAGUGGGGAGUUGGGAGAUGUGAUUUGAGAGCAAUGAGUGUGGGGGGGGGUGUAGCUUUUUCUUUUGUGAACGUAUUAUGAAUAUAUAAGAAACAGUGAUACGAGCCAGCCUCCACAAGGCCCCACUAUAAAUGUGAUCAAAGGCAGGGCCAGAGAGCAGGACACCGAGUCAUGUUAUAGGGUCUCAGAGGUGAGACAGUGCCAAUUUGUUCUCUCCUCUCCUAGGGACCUUAGGUCCAACGUGAGUGGGAGGUUCUCAAUCUUUGUCACCAGGUCAUGACAUGACCGGUCAACUUGAUCUCUCUGGUCACUUCCUUCCACCCCACAGGGAUUCCCUGCAUCCCUUGGAAUGCCGUGCCUGCGAGACUAUGGAAAGACAGACACAUUGCAGGGCUACAGUGUGCAGGGCCCCAUGUCCUCUUGAGUCACCCCAACUUCCCUCUCUCUCGCUCUCCUCUUGGCAAUGUCAUGGCUGGCAGUGAGCCCGCGGGGUAGGGUUCUCUUCUGCAGACCACCGGGCAUAGAGGGCAGGUGGGGGCAGGGGGAGCCAACCUUAUAGCUUCUGGGCCUGCUUUCCUCUGGUUUAAUUCCUCCUCAUUUCGGUUUCAAAAUGCAGUUGGGGUGUAUCCACUGUGUUCCCGGAGUCACCAAUUUUUUUUUUGAGCAGGUAAAUCAGGUAAUUCUCUUCAGGAGCUGCAGCUCCCCACCAAUCGAGUCCUCUGGAAGGCUCCAUUUCCUCCCGAAAGCCCAAUGAAAGGUGCUGCUCACAGUGAGUCCGGUUAAUAAAUAGCUCCUCCAGCUGAGACCAUUUGUCUGAGGUCUAGUUCCAUCCAUUACAAUUGGAUUCUGAAAUAUUUUCCUGCAAUCUCCUUGAGCACUGGAAGAAAAAAAAAAAAAAAAGCUCUGUAGUUUCACCAAGAGGAGGAAGCCUCCCUCCAAAUGAGCAAGACUCAGCAGGUCUGGCACAGCUAACCUUGAUCCGUCCUAGCUGGUGUCUUGUUGCUGCUUCUUGCCCAGCCUCCUUUCUGUUUUUUAACCUGGUCUCCUCUUUUAUGUUCACUUAUUUCGUUACUUGAAAGAAAAUAGCAGGACCUGGAAACUCCAGUCCAGUCAUGCUCUUGGACUCCUGUCUUGCCCUGCGGUCUCUUUUGAUCUAAAUUUCCUUCUCACUAUUACGAAUGUGGUAUCUGAGAAGCCUGGGGACUCUGAAAUAAACCUGGAGACUGUAGGAAGAGGUGUUUGUAAGUGUGUGAAGCCAGGUAGGCCUCCCUAUCGCAGGUUGGCCACAACUGCAGAUGUCGCAGCCUCUGUCCCCAAAGAGAGGUGUUAGGGCCACGCAGAAAAGUGCGAGUUCCUACAUUGCAUUGCCACAUAUGGUGACUUACAACAUGCUCAGCGCUGAUUUCACACUUGCAAAGCAAUUGGAGGAUUGUCCAUUCUUGGAUAUUUAAUUGCCUCACGGCUGGAGAAGAGGGAUUGCCACAAGCUGGUUUCACAAUGAAAAGGCCACUGCCGGGAUGCUCUGGGUUCGGCUGGCUUGCUUUUCUUGGGCAAAGACAACACGCCGUCGGGCCUGCCUCUGUAACACUAUGUUUGGCAGACUGCUCUUUCAUCUGUAUUUUUUGCUUUCCCCACUGGCUCUUAAAACAAAAAACCCUCAGAUAUUAAAAGAGAUGGUACUUAAAUUGUCAAUUGACCACACAGUGUUCAGGUAAGGAGGGCAUAUGUAGCAUUCUACUUCAUACACUUACGCAAUUGUAUACGUUUCAUAUGUGUGCUGUUAGUUGAAUUUUUGUAAGAUGGGUGGCUAUCUUUUCCUUAAAUCUCUUUAAUUCAUUCAGUAAAAACAUUAGCACCUGUAAUACUAUGCCAGACGCUAGAGUUUUAAAUUUCAUAUCUUAUGAUUGUAUUUUUUCAUAUUGUUGAUUUCAUCCUGCGUAUUUCAAAUCAUUGAGUUUGUGUUUAAAUAUUAUUUUCAAGCUAGACAAGUUUGACUUUCUUGAAGAAUUCCAAAACAGAAUUUAUAUUCUUUAUUUGCAGUGUUCCGUGGAAUCAUGAUUUUCAGCCCACUUAAAAUACUGUUUCUAAUCAAAUUGAUUUGUUUUGCAGAAUUUGAUGUGGCA